AUUGAACGCUGGCGGCAGGCCUAACACAUGCAAGUCGAACGGUAACAGGAAGAAGCUUGCUUCUUUGCUGACGAGUGGCGGACGGGUGAGUAAUGUCUGGGAAACUGCCUGAUGGAGGGGGAUAACUACUGGAAGCGGUAGCUAAUACCGCAUUACGUCGCAAGACCAAAGAGGGGGACCUUCGGGCCUCUUGCCAUCGGAUGUGCCCAGAUGGGAUUAGCUAGUAGGUGGGGUAACGGCUCACCUAGGCGACGAUCCCUAGCUGGUCUGAGAGGAUGACCGGCCACACUGGAACUGAGACACGGUCCAGACUCCUACGGGAGGCAGCAGUGGGGAAUAUUGCACAAUGGGCGCAAGCCUGAUGCAGCCAUGCCGCGUGUAUGAAGAAGGCCUUCGGGUUGUAAAGUACUUUCAGCGGGGAGGAAGGGAGUAAAGUUAAUACCUUUACUCAUUGACGUUACCCGCAGAAGAAGCACCGGCUAACUCCGUG
rnacentral:rRNA from 1 species